GAUACAUUGUCAUGCAGUUCUGAUAUGAAAACAGUAAAAAAAAAAAGCUGGGGGGUAGCUGCAAGACCAACUGUAGCUGUUGCUUUAAAGAAAAAUGUGGAGUUCUUUGUCAAAUGCUAUGGAAAAUAAUUUUUCUACAUUUAUCAUAGAUUUAGGGAUAGAAACACAUACAUAAUUUAUGCAUGUAGAGGUCAUGGCCUGGGUCACACCUACCCAUUUAUAUGACAAAUACAUCGUGGACAAAUCAGGAAUUAUAUACCAAUAUCUUAAGAAUUACUUUAACCUCCUUUUCAUUUCUUUUUUUUUCCAGAAUGGAAUCUGACAGGAAAAAAAGCAUCAGAUUUUAUCCAGGGUUGGACGUACUCCUGCUAAGGGAGAUAGUUGCCGACAUUCCCCAAAAUAAAUCAAUGUGGGAGGCCAUAAACAAAAAGUUGAAUGACGUCUUGAAAGAACGAAAUGCCUAUGUCACUUUGAGAGCAUGUAAGGAUCGCCUUUGCCACCUACGAGAGGCACACCGCAGGCAGGAAAUGAAUUCAUUGAGAGCGAGUAUGAUGAAAGGGCACAACUGUUGACCGAACUGGCUGAGUUAGAUGAGGAGCGGAAGAAAGCCAAGGAAACAUCUGGGAAAGACACACAUGCCAAAGAAAUUCAAGGAAAAGAAAUCCGAAUGGCAGCAAUGGAAUCCCUCGCUGGGACCAGUAAGAUGAAUACUGAUGGGAAUGUAGACAAAGAAGCUACCACCCAACAAAAAAGCGACCACCCAACAAAAAAGGAAGCGUGCAGGUACUGAGACUACUGACAGCUACAUCAAGUAUCUUCAAGAGAAGCUGGAUCUUGAACAACAGAAAUUUCAGUUGGAAAAAAGGGAGAGAGAAUUGAGGCUAGAAAGAGAAAACGAAAUGUUUAAGAUGAUGAUGGCAUUGAUUAAGGGAAAGAAUAAGGAGAGCUAAACAGUUUGCUCAGUGAGAUGCAAGUCUUGUAAAUAAAAGAGACAAGGUUUACAUGUAAUUUUGGUCAUUUCAGAUUGUAUUUUUUAUAUUCAGUCUCUCAUUUUUUUCAAAUCUUAUUGUUGAUGUUUGUAAAUAAUACUUAAUUUAUCCAGGAAUUAUUUAAACAUGUACAUGCGAGGUAUAUUUAAUCAUAUGUAUAUUCCAAAUGUAUAUACAUGUAUCAAAUUAUUUAUCAUUGGAUGUUUAUGUAAGUUAACUAUACCUGUACAUUGAGAACUGACAUCCUUGGGAAAUCUAACAUCAAAGGCUUAACUUAAUACAUGUAGUUGGCCACACACAGAUAGAAUUGAGGCAUGGGUAUAUAAUGUACACACCGCAAACGACAGACUACACGUCAUAUUUGAAGGAUUGCCAGAAAAUACAAGGUUCAGUAUCCAAAGUUUUGGGUUAAUUUCAAAUUUUGUGCAAAUGACAACCCUGUUGCAAUUUAAGACACAACACUUAAUCUGAAGAAUCUCUUGGUUCAAACAUUGGAUUGAAGUUUAUCAUUCGGUCUCAAAUCAAGCUAGCCUAUUCAUCAAGCCAUUCAAAUUAACUCCCACAACAAGCAUUCCUUUAUCACUGAUCAUCCAGUCACUUGUGACUAGACUUGUUAAAUGAUCAACUUUGUGAAUUAAACUGAUAAAUCAACAGUUUCUUGAACAGUGAGCAAUGGUCUGAUCUUAAAUUGCAAUUUCAUCUGAUAGCUGAUAGGUCAGCAACACUGCCUGGGCAUACUAGGGCUAUGCAUAUCACGCUAGAUAGUCCUCCAGGGAAGGUGGCUCCAGUUGGAAAACUUGCUUGUCUGAUUUCCAUACAAACGAGUGUGGCAGUUAUUAAGAAGACCUCCAACAAGGUAGUACUUGGCAACUGGGGACAAUAGAACUUUCAAAUUCUUGCGAAAGUCAAGGAAGGCAAAGAUUUUCAACAUCUUUCCAAAUUCCCACUCCACACAUUCUCCCACAGAUGACAUUCUAGUGUUAAAUUCUUCUUCUUCAGCUCUCAGGUUUGCCCCUCUGAAAGGACUUAUCAGGUAGCGUGGGAGAGGAUACGCCGUGUCUCCAUAAAGUGCAUAGGGGAUGCAAUUCCUAUCCGUGAAAUCUCUUGCCUCAAACUGUUCCAUCAAUCCACUGAUACGGAGAAGUGCACUGUCAUGCCUUCGUCCCUCUACUGGGCCAUAGAGAUGUGUGAUCAAACCACAUGGUAUCACCACAGACUGGAAUUUGAGUACAUGGAUUCUUCUGUGUCCGUAAAGCAAACUCGCUGAUAACGAGUUGGCCUACAGAUUGGACGAACUGUUCCAUCCACAAAACCAAUGCAAUUUUGCAAUGGCGCUCCUUUGUUGUGUAUUGUGUCUGCAUAGAGCUGAAGGUGUGCUGCAUCAAGCCAUGCGUUGUCCAAGGACAGGAAGCGAUGGUGAUGAGAAGUGUACAGAAAGUCAACAAGCUGGUUAAUAAUCAGUGAUAGAGUUGAUUUGGGUCUGCCAAACAAUUCUUCCAGGUCUGAUAGCCGAUUUGGAUCAAAUCUCCUUAACAAUACACAGACAGUGUCAAUACCAUUGCAAGUUGAAGCAUUUUUCAGUUGUAUGCUCUCUGGAACACCAAGUAAAUUACUCAGGCGAUAAAUGUCAUCUUUCUUAAAUCGAAACUUAUCCAAGCACUGAUCAUCCGUCAAUUCUGCUAAGUUAAACCUUGGCCAUGCAGGGUUGUAGGUCACUUUUCUUCUUGAGUCAGGUGCAUUUGCAAGGAGAAGUUGAAUAAAUUCAGCAUCUUCGUCUUCAAUCGCCAAAUCAAUCAAGUUGAGAUUUGGCGCGGCCAUCUUUAAAUCCCCCGCCGAUACGCGCCCUCUAUAGAGCUCAUUCUAAACGUAACCGGGAUCACCCACGAAACACCCAACACUAAACGCUCAAGUAUACGACUACGUUUAGAGAUAAACGUUGUCGUCUCUCUAACCGUAUGCCAACGAAACCUCUCUAUUUGUACUGUCCAUCGACUGAUCACGCCUAGGGGUUUGGAAUGUAGACAGGAGUAAUAAAUCUCCUCCAGUUGCACCUGCUGGCCACCCCCUUGCCAAUAACCGUGAAUGACUAUAGAGGAAGGAGGGGAAUGACUUCGCUAAUGUGGGUAACCUCUUCCAGGAAGAUGGAUGAUAUACAUGUACAUUGGAAUACAAUAACUAUAUGCACAGCCAGCUUUGUGCCAAAAAAGCCACAUUGGUUUAGUUUUUUGAAGCCGUCACAUGAAAAUGGAAUUCGCUCUGCAAGAGAACUCCCUUUCAAGACCGAAUAUUGGUUCGGUUGUCUUGGACUUUGGAGCGGACAUUUACGCCUGUAUAUUCCUGAGUGCUUUCCUUUGUUCCCUGGCCACUUGUAGAGGUUUGUGGGGCCGACUUUUGCCAGAGACGUCCGGGACUGAUUGUCUUGUCCCCAGGUUGCCCUCCUUGGAGUAGUGUCACAUUUCGUAGCAGCCAGCGAUGCCCCGUUUGAUCCGAGGGCGGAAGACACAGGCCCACCGUUUAUCCCUGUUGCGUACUGCUACAGCUGCAGCUGGACAUUGCCACGGUCCUGGGCACCCCCGUCAUGGGAAAGUGACAGCAGAGCCAGCGCUAGAGGCCACCACAGAGAGAGCAUCAGCUCCAGUCGACGGGUCGCCCAGGUUUCGCAGUUCCAGCCGUGGUGGGAUCAAGCUGGGUUUCUGCUGCUGGACCUACGGUAACAAGUAUGCCCCCUGCUGCUGUCGGUGAUAGUCGGUCAGUGGACCUUUCAGUGGAUGGCAACCUAACCUAGCGGACGUUAAUAAUAGUAGUAUUGGCAGUAUAAGCAAUUGGUCUUCUGCCGGUUUAAUAGGCACAAGUACAGGGCUUAACCCAAGUACAUGUACUUAUGUCAGUGCUUUUCCCAAGUAGUGUUGGGGGGCAAAUACUUUGAGUGCUAGCGGUUAAGUGCUCCCGACUAGUAUGAAUACUUCCCUCCCUUAUUCUAAUCUGGCGUUUGUAGACGAGAGAAGUUAUCAGAUCGGGAUGUAGUUCGUGCAGAAAGCCAUCCCUCACACACCGCCAGUCCUGGCUUUGCUCAGGCCAAUAACAACAGCCUUUUACCCGGCGCGUCGGCUCUAGACAUGACAAGACUGGCUCUUCUACAGUCUUUAGACAUCGGGGCUCCCAUUGAUCUCCAUGUCUCCCCAUCAGUGAAAGAGAAGGUUUGUAAUGGUCAAUAUAUUGAAAUGGCAAUAUUGUACCGUGACAAUGCCAACAGGGCGCUGGCCUCUAUGGCGAGCGAGUCAGAGUUAACCAUGGCUGUCGAGCAAGAGAAGAUUGUUUUUCGGCCUGUGGCUCCUCAGUCGCGAAAUUG